AGUAACGUAUAACAUAUAUUUAUAUAAGAGGAUUUUACGUAUUAAAACUAAAAUAGCUAUUAAUAAUGUCGCAAUUUCAUAAAGAUACCUUUACUUAUAUUCCAAUACUAUUUUGAUUUUGAAUAAAGAAAUCUCAGUACCAAAAAAAGGAAAAGAAUAUAUGCUAAAAAAGCCUGAAAAAUACGAAAUUUUUGUUGAGAAAUUUCAAAAAACCAUUGGUAACUUUAGCCAGUGGCUGCUAUUCUACUUUUUUUUCUUUUUUAAAAAAAAAAAAAAGAAAGGAAAAAGAAAUACUGAUGGCUGAUAAUAUGCAAGUUUGCUGAAUCUUUCGAUCAAAUCCUACUAGUUUACUAGCCCAUAAAAGGCUCCUCUAUAAGUGGAGAUAUGCUAAAGUUACAGCUAAGCUAAAAGUUUUCAUUUCGUUUUCAUCUAAAAGAAAAAAGGGUUGCUUGCUCAUAUUCUUUGUUAUUUUCCAUUGGUGACUAUCUUUUUAUAUUCGAUAUUCCAUGCCUUGAAAAAUUUCAGAAAACAUGAGUAAAGAACUUUUAUGUAGAUGUCAUAUCAGAGAGUAAUUUUAGAUAGAGCUGUUGAUGCUCUCCUUCUGCUUUGGAGCGCCAGAGAGCUGUAUGACUUUGAGCAUCAUCCUCUUAGUUAUACGCUGCAAAAGUUGUCCUUCUUCAGCUAAAGAAUGUAGGUCCUCACUCCUCGGCAGCAGGAUCACCCAUUACUGCUUUUUCUCCCACCCCCACCCGACCUAAAUCUGUUAAUCCAGUAUCAAUCAGUUAAAAGUUGUGACAGAAAAGCGAAAUGGCUCGUUUGUUGUGUUCAAACUCGCAAACACAACGGUCAUCAGCUAGUAUGGCCAUGGAUGCCAUCAGAAAUAAGACUCCUCAAGGUGGGUGAGGUCGGAUGGUAGAUUCCUUCUGCCACGAAUGACCAGUUCACUCAGAGAGUGCGAGGCAAGAUAAAUCUCAUUGCCAUAUUUACUGGACAUACCAAUGGAAACAAGGAUUGUAUUUAUUUUGAAGUAGGUAUGGUUAGAGUUGUUUAGGCAACUAAAUCUUUAUAAGGUUCAUCUGCCCACAAAAAUUAUUUAAUUGGUGUCGAGCACCAGCCGCAUGCAUGGAAGGGAAGUAAUUUCAGGCAAGAGGUAGGUUCCUCGAGCAGACAGAAGUUAUAGGAAAACAUAAGAGGAGUUCCUAGCUAGCUUUAGCGGAAACUAUAUUUCCUAACUCUAGCAACUUGCUUGAAGCUUAAGCUUAUUCAACACAUUAGAUGCCAAAACAUGAGGGAAUUCAAACAGAAUUUAUAUUGUGAGUGAUGAUAGUAGGAGGAGAAAGAAAUUUUUUAACAGAAUUAUGGCCAAAUAGAGGUAAUUCAAGGAGCACUUAUAAAAUGGUGUACAAAAGCUAAAAAAAAUAUGAUACAUUUUGAGGAUUGCAACAUUGCUUACAUCCUUGAAUAACCCCUAUGGUCUUCAUAUUCCUCCAUGAACUCAUCAUUGAACUUCUUGAAACUGGCCAUGAUUGCUGGCAUGUCUUCUUCAGCUGGUAAAA